AGAGUUUGAUCAUGGCUCAGAAUCAACGCUGGCGGCGUGCCUAACACAUGCAAGUCGCACGAGAAAGGGGAGCAAUCCCUGAGUAAAGUGGCGCACGGGUGAGUAACACGUGACUAACCUACCUCUGAGUGGGGAAUAACUGAGAGAAAUCUUAGCUAAUACCGCAUAACACUUACGAGUCAAAGCAGCAAUGCGCUUAGAGAGGGGGUCGCGGCAGAUUAGUUAGUUGGCGGGGUAAUGGCCCACCAAGACGAUGAUCUGUAUCCGGCCUGAGAGGGCGCACGGACACACUGGAACUGAAACACGGUCCAGACUCCUACGGGAGGCAGCAGUGGGGAAUUUUGCGCAAUGGGGGAAACCCUGACGCAGCAACGCCGCGUGGAGGAUGAAAUAUCUUGGUAUGUAAACUCCUUUCGAUGGGGAAGAUUAUGACGGUACCCAUAGAAGAAGCCCCGGCUAACUUCGUGCCAGCAGCCGCGGUAAUACGAGGGGGGCAAGCGUUGUUCGGAUUUAUUGGGCGUAAAGGGUGCGUAGGCGGUUUGGCAAGUCUGAUGUGAAAUCUAUGGGCUCAACCCAUAGUCUGCAUCAGAAACUGCCGGGCUUGAGUAUGGGAGAGGUGAGUGGAAUUUCCGGUGUAGCGGUGAAAUGCGUAGAUAUCGGAAGGAACACCUGUGGCGAAAGCGGCUCACUGGACCAUAACUGACGCUGAUGCACGAAAGCUAGGGGAGCAAACAGGAUUAGAUACCCUAGUAGUCC
rnacentral:rRNA from 1 species